rnacentral:rRNA from 1 species
CGCGGCCUAUCAGCUUGUUGGUGGAGUAAUGGCCUACCAAGGCGACGACGGGUAGCCGGCCUGAGAGGGUGACCGGCCACACUGGGACUGAGACACGGCCCAGACUCCUACGGGAGGCAGCAGUGGGGAAUAUUGCACAAUGGGCGCAAGCCUGAUGCAGCGACGCCGCGUGAGGGAUGACGGCCUUCGGGUUGUAAACCUCUUUCAGUAGGGAAGAAGCCUUUCGGGGUGACGGUACUUGCAGAAGAAGCGCCGGCUAACUACGUGCCAGCAGCCGCGGUAAUACGUAGGGCGCAAGCGUUAUCCGGAAUUAUUGGGCGUAAAGAGCUCGUAGGCGGUUUGUCGCGUCUGCUGUGAAAGACCGGGGCUCAACUCCGGUUCUGCAGUGGGUACGGGCAGACUAGAGUGCAGUAGGGGAGACUGGAAUUCCUGGUGUAGCGGUGAAAUGCGCAGAUAUCAGGAGGAACACCGAUGACGAAGGCGGGUCUCUGGGCUGUAACUGACGCUGAGGAGCGAAAGCAUGGGGAGCGAACAGGAUUAGAUACCCUGGUAGUCCACGCCGUAAACGUUGGGAACUAGGUGUUGGCGACAUUCCACGUCGUCGGUGCCGCAGCUAACGCAUUAAGUUCCCCGCCUGGGGAGUACGG